rnacentral:rRNA from 1 species
CCUACGGGAGGCAGCAGUAGGGAAUUUUCGUCAAUGGGCGCAAGCCUGAACGAGCAAUGCCGCGUGAACGAGGAAGGUCCUCGGAUCGUAAAGUUCUGUUGAAGGGGAAAUAGAGCGGAGAGAGGAAAUGGUCUCCGAUUGAUAUUACCCUUCGAGGAAGUCACGGCUAACUACGUGCCAGCAGCCGCGGUAAUACGUAGGUGGCGAGCGUUAUCCGGAAUGAUUGGGCGGAAGGGGUGCGUAGGCGGCCUGCUAAGUCUGGAGUGAAAGGUACCGGCUCAACCGGUAUAGGCUCUGGAAACUGGCGGGCUAGAGAGCAGGAGAGGGCGGUGGAACUCGAUGUGUAGCGGUAAAAUGCGUAGAUAUAUGGAAGAACACCAGUGGCGAAGGCGGCCGCCUGGCCUGUUACUGACGCUGAGGCACGAAAGCGUGGGGAGCAAAUAGGAUUAGAUACCCUUGUAGUC